AGUGAACGCUGGCGGUAGGCCUAACACAUGCAAGUCGAACGGCAGCACAGUAAGAGCUUGCUCUUACGGGUGGCGAGUGGCGGACGGGUGAGGAAUACAUCGGAAUCUACUUUUUCGUGGGGGAUCACGUAGGGAAACUUGCGCUAAUACCGCAUACGACCUACGGGUGAAAGCAGUGGAUCUUCGGACCUUGCGCGAUUGAAUGAGCCGAUGUCGGAUUAGCUAGUUGGCGGGGUAAAGGCCCACCAAGGCGACGAUCCGUAGCUGGUCUGAGAGGAUGAUCAGCCACACUGGAACUGAGACACGGUCCAGACUCCUACGGGAGGCAGCAGUGGGGAAUAUUGGACAAUGGGCGCAAGCCUGAUCCAGCCAUACCGCGUGGGUGAAGAAGGCCUUCGGGUUGUAAAGCCCUUUUGUUGGGAAAGAAAAGCAGCAGGUUAAUACCCCGCUGUUCUGACGGUACCCAAAGAAUAAGCACCGGCUAACUUCGUG
rnacentral:rRNA from 1 species